UAUACUCUAACCUAAUAUAUUUUCUCAAAUAAAAAGGCUUUCGAAGAUGUUAUCCAAAUACUAUUAUUGGUGCCGUAAGAAAGACUUAGAGAGAUUUUCGAUUUUUAAAACUAUUUAAUCAAAAUAAUUUAAAUGUUGCAAUAUUUAGAAAAUAGAUCCCAAAAUUGCUCAUUAAAUGGAAGUGCACAACGUCAUAAUUUUGUGAGCCAGCUGCUUUCGCUCUGACCCUUGGCACGGAACCACAUUUGUGCGAGCACUUCAUUAAUCCUACAACAAAUUAAUGUGUUUGUCACAAAGGAUUUAAAACACAAUCAAUCAGAGAGCGCAACAGCCCUUUUUGAACCCCAAAAAAUAUAUUUCAUAAUUUAGUUGUCCCAACUUGCAGCGAGAAAAGGAAAAGGGAAUGUAGUAGACAAGAAGAGGUUCUGGAUUUGCUUGGGUUAAUCUCAUUUCUGUUGUUUGUUUUCUUUUUGCUCUGGUGCUGAUUUCAUGGAUCACAUUAUAUUUUAUGCGAAUUUUUAUCCGCAUGAAAAUGAAAUAACAACGAACGACGAACACAAAAAAAAAUUGGUGAACGCGCUCUACCGACAUUGAGUAACAAUUUCAUUUGCA